rnacentral:rRNA from 1 species
UACGGGGGGGAGCAAGCGUUGUUCGGAUUUACUGGGCGUAAAAGGGCGCGUAGGCGGCCAGCACAAGUCAGUUGUGAAAUCUCCGGGCUUAACUCGGAAAGGUCAACUGAUACUGUGCGGCUAGAGUGCAGAAGGGGCAACUGGAAUUCUCGGUGUAGCGGUGAAAUGCGUAGAUAUCGAGAGGAACACCUGCGGCGAAGGCGGGUUGCUGGGCUGGACACUGACGCUGAUGCGCGAAAGCCAGGGGGAGCGAACGGGG